rnacentral:rRNA from 1 species
UACGUAGGGUGCGAGCGUUGUCCGGAAUUACUGGGCGUCAAGAGCUCGUAGGUGGUUUGUCGCGUUGUUCGUGAAAACUCACAGCUCAACUGUGGGCGUGCGGGCGAUACGGGCAGACUGGAGUACUGCAGGGGAGACUGGAAUUCCUGGUGUAGCGGUGGAAUGCGCAGAUAUCAGGAGGAACACCGGUGGCGAAGGCGGGUCUCUGGGCAGUAACUGACGCUGAGGCGCGAAAGCGUGGGUAGCGAACAGG